GAGAUCUCCAGAUCCACACGGUUCUUCUCAUCAUUCAGCUUGACUGACAAUCGAGGAUCCAGACCUGGAGCCCGUGAUGGAGACCCGACACCAUGCAGGAUAAGCAGGAUAUACUGAGGAGCUGAUCCAGGGUUCUGGAGAUACCAUUGAAGAGAGACUGCAGAUGAGUAGGUGCAUGAAAGUGUAAUAUUUCUACCUGCUGGAGCAUACACCUCCUCUCUGAUUGGUUCAAUGGUCUGACCAUUACUGUCACCUGCAAGAGAUGCAAAGGCACCAGAGUUGGCAGAAGGACCUGACCUGUCUACUGUGAUGUCAUACGGAAAACAUUGCUUGAAGGGCAUAUCUGUAAGAUAUGUAGACAGGAAUUAAUAGACAUGCAUUUUUGUUUUCAUCUUUAUAGCUUUAUUUACAGUUUAAACCGGCAACAUAUUCGGAUAACCGAAUGAGUUUCUGUCACUUUUUAAUCUGUUCAUUUGUUUCAACAAAUAAUUCACUGUUCAUUUCCAA